rnacentral:rRNA from 1 species
GACGAACGCUGGCGGCGUGCUUAACACAUGCAAGUCGAACGAAGUGGCGAACGGGUGAGUAACGUGGAAUCAACCUGCCCUUCAGAGGGGGACAACAGUUGGAAACGACUGCUAAUACCGCAUACUGAAUGAGGGGAUUGCGUUUGAUUAGGUGGUUGUAGGGGUAACGGCCCACCAAGGCGAUGAUCAGUAGCCGAUCUGAGAGGGUGAGCGGCCACAUUGGGACGUAGACACGGCCCAGACGCCUACGGGAGGCAGCAGUGGGGAAUCUGCCGCAAUGGACGAAAGUCUGACGGAGCAACGCCGCGGGAGUGAUGAAGGCCUUCGGGUUGUAAAGCUCUGUUAGUCGGGACGCGGUACCGGAAUAGAAAGCCACGGCUAACUACGUGCCAGCCGCCGCGGUAAUUC